AUGACGGCCACGGCCGGCAAGAGUGACCCGGUGGUCGGCCGUGACGACGAGAUCGACCGCGUCGUCCGCAUCCUGUGCCGCCGGACCAAGAACUGCGCCGCGCUCGUCGGCGCCCCAGGGGUCGGCAAGACCGCCAUCGCCGAGGGCCUUGCGCAGCGUGUCGCCGCUGGCAAAGUCCCCGCGCCGCUCCUUGGGGCACGCGUCGUGGAACUGGAGGUAGCGGGCAUGGUGUCCGGGACGGUCUGGCGUAUGUUCGAGGAGCGCAUGAAGGACGUGAUACAGCAGAUGGAGGAUUCCGGCGGCAAGGUAAUUCUGUUCAUCGACGAGAUGCACAUGCUUAUUGGAGCCGGCGAUUGGCAGGGUCGCCAUGACGCGGCUAACAUGCUGAAGUCGGCAUUGGCCCGUGGCCGCAUCCGGUGCGUCGGCGCCACCACGUUAGACGAGUACAGCAAGCACGUUGAGAAGGAUCCGGCGCUCGAGCGGCGGUUCCAAAAGGUGCACGUCGAUGAGCCAAGUGAGCAGGCGACGAUUGGCAUGCUCCGGGGUCUAAAGAAGCGUUUCGAAGAGCAUCAUGGCAUCAAAAUUCAGGAUGCUGCAAUUGUUGCUGCAGCGCAGCUCGCUGGCCGCUAUGUCACCGGCCGACAAUUUCCUGAUAAGGCCAUUGAUCUGAUUGAUGAGGCUUGCACAAGCACAAAAGGAGGACAAGCAUUUGUUAGCCCUGAACCAUUAGGAAACAGAGACCCCUUCUCCGGACCUCGUGCGGCCGCCGCCGGGCCGCACCGGGCGGCCACAGUUGUGAGUAGGUGGACUGGAAUUCCUGUCACGUCACUUAGUGCAGAGGAGACAGAAAAACUAAUCCAUCUUGCAGACAGAUUGCACGAACGAGUUGUUGGUCAGAAUGAAGCUGUCAAUUUAGUUGUGCAAGCGGUGUUACGUUCGAGGGCUGGUCUUGAUCCCCCUGGUCAACCAAUAGGUUCAUUCCUUUUCUUGGGCUCAACUGGUGAUGGAAAGACAGAGCUUGCAAAAGCUCUCCCCGAGCAGUUGUUUGACAAUGAGAAGAUGUUGCUUCGAUUUGAUAUGUCUGAAUAUGUUCACUCUGGAUCUGUUACAUGUCUCAUUGGAGCACCGCCAAAUUACCUAGGUCACCAAGAUGGUGGACAAUUGACCGAGAAGGUCCGGAGCCGUCCAUACAGUGUCAUCCUAUUUGAUGAGGUCGAGAAGGCCGAUCCCUCGGUAUUAAAUGUAUUUCUUCAGCUACUUGAUGAUGGUGUCUUGACUGAUGGCAAAGGUCGUAAGGUAGAUUUCAAGAAUACAGUCAUCAUUAUGACCUCAAAUCUAGGUGCAGAGCACCUAAUUACAGGAAUUCGUGGUGAAAACACAAUGAAAGGUGCACGAGACCUUCUCAUGAAAAAGGUGCAUGAAUAUUUCAAGCCGGAGCUUCUCAAUAGAUUAAGCCAGAUUGUUAUAUUUGACCCACUUUCGCACGAGCAACUAAUGGAGGUUGUGAAAAUGCAAAUGAAAAGUGCCACCACCAGAGUAGCAAAAAAGGGAAUAUCUUUAUCCGUGAGUGAUGCUGCAUUGCACGUCAUUUUGUCGGAGUCAUACAACCCAAUGUAUGGUGCAAGGCCCACAAGAAGCUGGGUGCAGAAUAAUGUGAUGACAGUAAUCUCUGAGAUACUGGUAAAAAGACAGCUAGCAGGCUCGAGAAUCCUCAUAGAUGCUGCGGACAACAAGAAGGGGCUGAAGUAUGAUGUGGUGAAGGAGGAGGUAGUGGAUGCACAUGUUGAGGCACCAGUCGUAGAUGACUCCCAGGACAAAGGCGAUGAUUUGGUUCUCGAAAAUCCUACAGUGACAACGUCGCACGCUCCAGGACUUUACAGAAUAUUGUAUUCUCGUUUCGGUUCUAUUCUGAACUAG
rnacentral:rRNA from 1 species